rnacentral:tRNA from 1 species
GAGGGUAUAGCUCUAGUGGCAGAGCGCAUGCUUAGCAUACAUGAGGUCUUGGGUUUAAUCCAAGUACCUCCU